CUGGUUUUUAGUACUCACUCCCUCGUGAUCUGUUGCUGCCUCAUUCUCUGUUCCACUGUUUUGUCUCCUGUGUUGUAUGCCUUUUUCUCCCAGAGUUCUGCCAACUAUUUCUCAGAGAUUGUUAAAGGAGCGGGGUUGUGUACAACGAGGCAUGGCACCACCAGCUGCUGUAGUGGCAGUGCAGCAGAGCUCCGCUUACAGGCUGGUCUGGCUGCUGAAACAAGCUAAGCUAACCGGGCUGUUGGACUGGGACUUCCCCACUAACCACUGCCUGAUCUAGGCCGAGGACUCUGGGAUUUACCCCUACCUACUAUUUGUGGUGACAGAAAAUGAAUAUAAAUUUUAUGCAGACAGCUCUGCAGGAGGAGAGACCACAGUUCCAGAUUUGGGUGCAGUUUCCCAAAAGUUAUCCUCUUCACCCUCUUGCCAUGGUCUACUCCAUUAUCUACACAGAUUCUACUUUAUAUAAAUAUUUUCUUAUGAUUAGACAGUCAAGUUAUCAAUAUCCUCUGGAGCUCUAGACUGAUCUUCUGCUUUUAUUCUAAUAAGUAAAAUGUUUACUAAAACUGUUUUUCUGUUUGUGCUAUAGAUAUCUGAUAUGAGCUUGUGUGCUGAUAAUAAAAGAACAAUACGUGUAUUAAUCAGUCUUUAGUAGUUAUUGUAAAUUAAUCAUGCAGUUUUAAAGCAACAACUCUGGCCGGAUGCAGAUUGGUAAAAAAUUAAAUGUAAAAUAUUGACUUUUUCCUGCCUAUGGAACCAUUGCAGCUUAGGGAAUAAUGAAAGGAAUUAAUCAACAGUAUAACUCUAAAACUGCUCAUUUAUUCUUUAUCAGCUAAAAUGAAAAUAUAUGUAGACAUGCAGUUUUCUUCACAACUUCCCCAUACCUCAUUAGGCUGAG